rnacentral:rRNA from 1 species
UGGGGAAUAUUGCACAAUGGGCGCAAGCCUGAUGCAGCCAUGCCGCGUGUAUGAAGAAGGCCUUCGGGUUGUAAAGUACUUUCAGCGGGGAGGAAGGCGAUAAGGUUAAUAACCUUGUCGAUUGACGUUACCCGCAGAAGAAGCACCGGCUAACUCCGUGCCAGCAGCCGCGGUAAUACGGAGGGUGCAAGCGUUAAUCGGAAUUACUGGGCGUAAAGCGCACGCAGGCGGUCUGUCAAGUCGGAUGUGAAAUCCCCGUGCUCAACCUGGGAACUGCAUUCGAAACUGGCAGGCUAGAGUCUUGUAGAGGGGGGUAGAAUUCCAGGUGUAGCGGUGAAAUGCGUAGAGAUCUGGAGGAAUACCGGUGGCGAAGGCGGCCCCCUGGACAAAGACUGACGCUCAGGUGCGAAAGCGUGGGGAGCAAACA